GGAGAUGUGCCAGAGAGGCCGAUUGGGGCUCCCUGCUAAGGAGUUGCCCGUUCACGCGGGCCGCAGGUUCGAAUCCUGUCAUCUCCGCCA
rnacentral:tRNA from 1 species